GUGGGGAAUUUUGGACAAUGGGCGCAAGCCUGAUCCAGCAAUGCCGCGUGCAGGAAGAAGGCCUUCGGGUUGUAAACUGCUUUUGUACGGAACGAAACGGUCCGGGUUAAUACCCUGGGCUAAUGACGGUACCGUAAGAAUAAGCACCGGCUAACUACGUGCCAGCAGCCGCGGUAAUACGUAGGGUGCAAGCGUUAAUCGGAAUUACUGGGCGUAAAGCGUGCGCAGGCGGUUUUGUAAGACAGGCGUGAAAUCCCCGGGCUCAACCUGGGAAUUGCGCUUGUGACUGCAAGGCUGGAGUGCGGCAGAGGGGGAUGGAAUUCCGCGUGUAGCAGUGAAAUGCGUAGAUAUGCGGAGGAACACCGAUGGCGAAGGCAAUCCCCUGGGCCUGCACUGACGCUCAUGCACGAAAGCAUGGGGAGCAAACAGGAUUAGAUACCCGUGUAGUCC
rnacentral:rRNA from 1 species